AUACGGAGGGUGCAAGCGUUACUCGGAAUCACUGGGCGUAAAGCGCGCGCAGGCGGGCUGAUAAGUUGGAUGUGAAAGCCUACGGCUCAACCGUAGAACUGCAUCCAAAAACUGUCAGUCUAGAGUGUGGGAGAGGAAGAUGGAAUUAGUUGUGUAGGGGUAAAAUCCGUAGAGAUAACUAGGAAUACCAAAAGCGAAGGCAAUCUUCUGGAACACUACUGACGCUGAGGCGCGAAAGCGUGGGGAGCAAACAGGAUUAGAAACCCUAGUAGUCC
rnacentral:rRNA from 1 species